CAGCCGCCACGGUAAUCCGAAGGGGGCUAGCGUUGUUCGGAUUUACUGGGCGUAAAGGGCGCGUAGGCGGACUGAUAAGUCAGGGGUGAAAUCCCAAGGCUCAACCUUGGAACUGCCUUUGAUACUGUUUGUCUUGAGUUCGAGAGAGGUAAGUGGAACUGCGAGUGUAGAGGUGAAAUUCGUAGAUAUUCGCAAGAACACCAGUGGCGAAGGCGGCUUACUGGCUCGAAACUGACGCUGAGGCGCGAAAGCGUGGGGAGCAAACAGGAUUAGAUACCCCCGUAGUCCCUGUCUCUUAUAU
rnacentral:rRNA from 1 species